rnacentral:rRNA from 1 species
UACGUAGGGUGCGAGCGUUAAUCGGAAUUACUGGGCGUAAAGCGUGCGCAGGCGGUUAUACAAGACAGGCGUGAAAUCCCCGGGCUUAACCUGGGAAUGGCGUCUGUGACUGUAUAGCUAGAGUGUGUCAGAGGGGGGUGGAAUUCCACGUGUAGCAGUGAAAUGCGUAGAUAUGUGGAGGAACACCAAUGGCGAAGGCAGCCCCCUGGGAUAACACUGACGCUCAGGCACGAAAGCGUGGGGAGCAAACAGG